GGCUGGACCUUGACUUUUCAUCUGCAGAUCCCCAGAAUAUUUUUGGAGCCAUAACUUACCACACAUAUUAAUAAAUAGAAACCUCUGCCAUCAGGAGAAGAAAAACAGUGAAAACAUAAGAGAAGGGAGUUAAGAAGCUUUGUAUACAAGCUUUUUUGUUAACCCUGCUGGACAAAGGCUGCGGUCUGUAAGUGACCACUUGAAAAGUUCUUUCAUCAGACUGUAAUUGCACAAAGAGGAAGCACGUUUCCCAACAGUACCAAUGCACUGCAUCAUCACUGGACAGUGAAAAAAGUGACUUCAGUAGCUCUGAUAUUGAAUGGCACUUAAGGCAUGGAACAACAGUUUUAAACAUCUCAUCCUUCCCUACUGAUGUAAAAAGACUCGGUUGCUGUAACAAGCUAGAGCCAUGAAUGUGGAUCAUCACCUUCCUGCUGGAAAGGCCCAGGGAAUCCAAAGGAGUUGAAACCAUUUGUGUUGUUAAAAGCUCAGAGCUUCCAAACAUUAUGGAUAAUGCCGUAGAUGCAAAGUAACAAGAUAUUUGUAAGGAGUUUCGUAUUCAUAUAAUAACAUAUACUCAAUUAUUUGUAUUUAAAUCAU